AUGAGUCAUGCCCUGCACCCUGGAGCCCAGAGGACCCUUCGCUCAAACCCACCACCAGCUGGCAACACCGGAGCAGCCAGAGCCACUUCCUUCACUGCCCAGAGGAGCCUGGGAGAAGCCAGAGGUGCUCGAGGAUGGAUUCCAAGCUCCCGGUGCACUGCCACUCCAUGCCACCCAUCUCCUAGUUUUCUGUCUUCUCCUGGUGGCAUCAGGCCUUGCUUCAUGUCCCACCCAGAGCUUCUGGGGCUAGCACAGUCCUGGCUGUCUACAACCUGGGUCUGGUGGAUCUCUCAGAGUACAUCUGGGAGGUCAUGGCCACCCUGCUCCUGGCCAACUGCAGCUACUUCUGCCAGCCAGCGGACUACAGCUGGAGCGAGUGUGGAAUGAGGGUAUGGCAGGGAGCAGGAGGUAAGCCUGUAGAGGGUUAGGAGGGAGAACUUCAUAACAAUCUGAGGUCAAGGAGGUGUCACCCGAGCCUUUUGAUGAGAGGCAGGGGACUGGCUGGUUAUGUGCAGGCUUUGGAGUCAGAUGACCUCGGACCUCAGUUUGGAUCUCAGCUCUGCCAUUUCCUUGCUGUGUGAUUAUGGGUGGUACACCUAACUUUUCUGGGACUCGAUUCUCUUACCUACAAAAUUGAGAUGAUAAUACAUAUUUUCUAAAGGGAAAUGAUUGAAAGAAGAUGGAAUCAGAUAGUAUAUGAUAGAUAAUAUAUGAAAGUGUUUAGCACAGGGCAGCACACAUUGAGUGGUAGCUAAGUGGUAGUGACUUCAUCACUGUUAGCUGUUCUCUGUUUCCACUGGAAGCAGAAAAAAAAAACCUUCCUUGUAACAAAAGACUCUAGCUGAGGCUUGUCACCAGGUAACUGAGGCUUGUCACCAGGUGAUAUGGAUGUUGAGUCACUGGAUGUUGGUGAUGGGCUCAAGUCCUGUGACUCAAAGUAUGAUCCUGGGGCUGGCAGCAUCAGCAUCAUCUGGGAGCUUGUUGGAAAUGCAGAAUCUCAUGUUCCACCCCAUGUACACUGAUUAAGAAUCUGCUUUUCAAUGAACAAAAUGCUCACGUGCUCAUUAGAUUGCAAGGUUCUGGACUGGGGCACAUUGGGAGAGUCCUUCUGUGGUCACUCCAGUAGCUUCUCCCCUUCUUUCCUGUGCUAACAGGCAUCUGCCUGCAGACAGGUAGGCACUGUGUAAUCAGUGGUGCAUAGAACAGUGAGGAUUCGAGGCUGAACCCAGACCGGGGGGACGAGCUGUGGCACCAGUAGGACUGCAGUCUGAUGAACUUCCCCUUUCUUCCCAGCAGAUGGCGAGCGUGGGCUGCUGGUGCCUCUUUCUGAAGGCUGUUGAUUGCAUGACAGGUGAGAUCUGGGACCCACGGGCUCCUGUAUAUCUGUCAGCCAAAUCUGGGGUGGUGUCUGACUCACGCAGCAAGAAUGCUCUCUGGAUUUGCCCCGGCGGCUGUGCCAGAGACUAAUUUCAGAGUAAAGCCUUGGUCCAGUACCUGGCGGGGGGAAGGAUGCUCAGCCACUGAGGUAGCGUCCCCCUCUGCUGGCUCCCGUGGUCCCUGCUCCCUAUCCACAGAAGCAGGAGUAGGCAUUUGCCCCCUUAGUAUCCAGGUUCCAGCUAAGAUUAAAAUAGAAAGUUAAACAAAUUUUAAAACUAAUAUGUUAUAGUAAGGGUCAUCAGAGAGCAAAAGCUUCCAUGUUACUGAGAAGAGACCUUGCUGGUGAGGCCAGGGGUCUUGUGGAAUUAAGCAGGGUGAGACAAGAACAUAAUGUUGGUGUGGUUGGUGAUGAAGAGAGGGGCUCUUUCUUCUCAGUCUCUUGCCAAAAUGCUCUGAGCAGAGAACACGUGGGAAUGUGUUGUGUGGGUG
ensembl:lincRNA